GGGCUGUUAGAUGUAUAAUAUUCACAACUGUCUUAUUUAAUCCGUCAAGUCUGUCCACAGUUCAGAUUUUCAUUUUGCCGAACAGAAUGUUACUUCCCAUGAAACCCACGCCUCCAGAGAGACUUAAUAUGCCCUAAAGGAAAAUGGCCCCUAGAACAAAAGAAGGUUGUCCUUAAGUGCCUUCACUCUGCCCUUAGUGAGGUCAUAUCUGCC